GGGGUCAUAGCUCAGUUGGUAGAGCGUUUGAAUGGCAUUCAAGAGGUCGGGGGUUCGAAUCCCCCUGGCUCCA